AAAUCCAGUUCGGUUAAUACCGGUCGUAAGUGUGUGACCGCCCAUGAGUUGUUAAAAUCAAUACAAUCCUCCAUACGAGCGCAACAUGAAGCUGAGAUCCCAAAUUGGUUCAUCAUAUCCGUGAAUCUGGAUUCUCCGAGCAUUCUUUUCCGAUCACGAUCGCUCUGCAAUACGAUCGUCACCACACGAAGAAGAAAGAUCUGUUUGAACCCUACCUCUGCAAGUCGAUAGAUCUAAUAAUCAACUCUUAUUGGUGAUUAGGUGUUUGUGACUUGAAAAACAUUGGAUAAAAGCUAUCAAUAGUGCAAAUUGCUACGUGUUAACUCCGACAUCUCGUCUCGAGUUAUUAAUUGAGUCUCCAGUUCAUCGUUUUUUAGUUUCACCGGCAACAUAAGGAUGAAACGGCGGGGUUUCCUUAAGUAAACAGCUGUAAAAGGGGUAGUAUGAGUAGCCGUAUGGUAGCCUGUCUCGUAAAAAAAUGGUCCAUUUUGUUGGCUGCUCAUGAGCAAAACAACGUAGCUAGGCUUCCAUCCAGCGGUUAAGCACUUAGGUUUGCCCGUUGGUUUUACAAUGAUAGCUAGUUUUCAUCUUAUAAGUAGUCUGGCUCUGGCAUAAAAGAUAAAUAUCUUGCCAGAAAAAUUGCUUAGAAAAAUCGCAUCCUGUUCAGACACGAUGGAAUGAGGAAACCCAUGAGCCAGUCAAUUUCUUUGCCAAAUGAGGCAACAACUGUUUUAGCCGUGAAUGGAUGAGAUAGGGGGAUAAAGUGAGCAUAUUCACUUAGUCGAUCAACAAUUACCAGCAUCUUAUCAAAUCUGUUGGAAGGGGGUAAAUUAACAAUGAAGUCUAGCGAUAUGUCUUCCAAGAUGCUUUGUGGGAUCGGUAAUGGAUGUUGUAACCUUGAUGGCGAUAGGGUUUCAUAUUUAUGUUUUUGGCACGUCAAGCAAUUCUGCACAAAUAUCCGGACAUCCUUCUUCAUGUGAGGCCAAUAAUGAUAAGCUGCAAGCCUGCAAUUUUCUUUAAGGUUUUGAGAAAACCACCAUGUCCUGCUAAUGGUGUGGAAUGUGCUUCAUGGAGUAUUACUUCACGAAUAGUUGGGUUAUAGGGGAUGACCAUCCGUCCUUUGUAAAGGAGAGUUUGACCGACCAACAAGUAAUCUUACUCUUUUGUGGAUCAAACUCCUCAUCGAUCUCUGUAACAUCCAGGCAAAUAAGGCAUGGCAAAAGUGAGUAACUCAGCAGAAUGAGGUCUUCUUGAUAAUGCGUCGGCACCUCGAUUCUCUUUACUGGGCACGGUGGAUAAUAGAAAAGUCAUAGGGCAUCAGUUUUAACAGCAGGGCUGUGGUUCAGUGGUUGUGACUCUCUGUUCCAGCAAGAAUUUAAGAGUUUUGUGGUCAGUCUUUAUAAAAAAAAUGUUGACCCGGUAGAUGGUGAUUCCACGUUUGAUUUGCUAAAACGAGUGCCAUAUGCGGAUUUAAACCGGUUGGAAGGUGAGAACCUCUUGCUAAAGUAAGCAACUGGAUGAUCCUCCUGAAUCAGAAAAACGCCUAGACCUCCUGAUCGACAUGUACCCCUUCUACAGUGAUCAUGCCCCAAAAGUAGAACUUUAGCUUGACCGAAGCAGCAUUUUGGAUAAUUUGGCAAAGAUGUUUGGAUAGUAACUCCAAAGCUGUUUGCAAGUGAGUAACAUGUUGCUCCAUAUCUGAGCUAUUAAUCAAAAUGUCAUCCAAAAACACCGGCACAAAGACGCAAAUAUGGUCGAAAAAGAUCAUUCAUAGCUGUCUGAAAAGUGGAGGAGGCAUAUUAGUAAGACCAAAUAAAGGGCAAUACCGUAAACUCGUAGCGUCCAGAUCCAGAAUGAGUCCUGAAAGCAGUCUUCUCAAUAUCGAAAGGGUUUACACGGAUUUGAUAGUACCCCACACGUAGAUCUAACUUAGUAAAUACCGUGGCUCCAUAUAAAUCAUCCAGCAACCAUAAGCUUAUUUAGAGCACGAUAAGCAAUGCAACGUGUUAUCUUUUUUCUUAACUAUAAGUACUGGGCUAGAAAAGGGGCUGGUGAUUGGCUGAAUGAACCCAGCCCAUAGCAAUAUUUCCACUUGCCUCUUGAUUUCAGUUUUUUGGGAAAACGGGCAUCUAUGUGGUCUGAUGUUGGGUGGUACAGAAUUGGCUAAAGAGGAAUAACAUGAAAA